UUGAAAGGAAGAAUUCUCAAGAGUAUCAUCACAUGGUCUAAAAUGGGGCAACAAACCACCCAGUCGAAAAAGGUGUAUUAAUAUAAAUCCUCCGACGUUGACUCAAAAGGCAGUUGUCGAUUUACGUCACGGAAUAAGAAUUGGCGUGUUAUAUAUUGCGCAAAUGUAUAGAAAGUUAAUUACCAUUUGCUUAAUUAAGGCUAACAUUAUAAAAUGUACCCCCUAAUGCAGCAUUACCGGAAUACACUGUUCUUACAGAAUGCGGAGAGGCUGAAGCUAGGCAGGAAAUUGUUACGCAAAAGGACGUUUCACUUUCAACACGGCAUGAAUUGUUUACUGUGGUUACUAGUCUCAGUUGUUAUGACACAUGCCAAUCAGCAUUGUAAAGAGACCUUGUCAGCAAGAGGAAGUUACUUGAAGGGUCACGUGAUAUCAAGCGGAAAUGCAGUCAAUAUUGGCGAGUGUUUGGGCAAAUGUGCAAGAGAACUUCGGUGUAAGAGCAUCAACUUCCGGUUAGAAGGUUUGCUCUGUGAGUUGAAUGACGCCGAUUAAUCAACGCACCCGUGGGAUUAUGGACCAAGGCAAGGACAUGUAUACAGCGACUACCCUUACCAGACCUCCGAGUAUCAGUCAUGCGCAGAAAUAAAGUACGCCCAUAAAGAAGCAAAAAGCGGUCUUUACUGGAUCCCAGUGAAAAACAAAAUGGAGCAGGUCUAUUGUGACAUGGCAAUGUUGGACAACUAUGGAGUUGGAGUACAGUACCGCUCAUGCGCAGAAAUAAAUAACGCACUUGAAAAAGCAAAAAGUGGUUAUUACUGGAUCACAGGGAAACACAACUUGACGCAAGUCUUUUGUGACAUGGAUAACCAUGGUAGGAUCUGAUUCACAGUGCAACUUUCUAACCUGAAGUAUCGAUAAAGUGAUGUUCCUUCCCCUUAAUCACAUAUAAUUUGGAAAACUGGAAAAACGAUCUCUGGUUAAAAAUUUGUUUAAAACGAGCUUUCGACUACCAGUCUGUAGUCUUUAACGAGUAAUAGAUAGAAAGCGCGAACGUUAAAAUAUAUACUGAGGAAAGUGCGAAAAAACAAAAUUAUAAUAAAAAACAAUAGAAAUGCUUGUGUACGAGUAAAAAUGCUAAUGUGAGGUUCAAAAUAAAAUUGAAUAUUGUCUUGGUAAUUGUUUCGCAUUAUCGUCAGCAUGGUUCGUAAUUGCUGUGUGCCAGGAUUCCAGAGUUUUUCUAACACGGGAAUAUCCCUUGUCAAUCACGCGUGCAUUGUUAAAGUCGAUGGAAUGGUCGUUCAACCAGGCGUGUGAAGCAAUGUUGGAACCUUUUUUAAAAGUUUUUGUGUUUCU